rnacentral:rRNA from 1 species
CGUGUAGGCGGUUCGGUAAGUCAGAUGUGAAAGCCCUGGGCUCAACCCAGGAAGUGCAUUUGAAACUACCAGACUUGAGUACGGGAGAGGAGGGGGGAAUUCCCGGUGUAGAGGUGAAAUUCGUAGAUAUCGGGAGGAAUACCAGUGGCGAAGGCGCCCCUCUGGACCGAUACUGACGCUGAGACGCGAAAGCGUGGGGAGCAAACA